rnacentral:rRNA from 1 species
CCCUUAGAUGUUCUGGGCCGCACGCGUGCUACACUGAGUGGAUCAGCGGGUCAGGUUGCGCGAAAGUGUUUCCUAAUCUUUAAAUCCGCUCGUGAUGGGGAUUGACGGUUGCAAUUUUCCGUCAUGAACGAGGAAUACCUUGUAAGCGCGGGUCAUCAUCCCGCGCUGAAUACGUCCCUGCCCUUUGUACACACCGCCCGUCGCACCUACCGAUUGAGUGGUCCGGUGAGGCUUUGGGAUCUGAGCGGAAAGAGCGUUUCGCUGUUUCUGCCCGGAAAACUCAGUCGAACCUUAUCAUUUAGAGGAAGGAGAAGUCGUAACA